ensembl:lncRNA
AGUCCAUCUGUGUCGUUUUUUUUGGUCGCAAUCAAAUAGUCACUUAACUAAUAGGUUUGCAACACAAAAAAAGCAGAUUUCUCUUUUAGGAUGGGUGGUGUGUAACAGGCGCACAUUCUUCGUCAAUACGUAGGGAAUGGGAGGGAGUGGGCGCGCGCAGCUGUCAGUCCAGGAGUUUGCUUCUCGUGCUCAGUCGGUCAGUUUGCUCCACGCCGAGAGUCCCGACCCACCUCACAGUUCCAGUACUCUGCCAUUCACUGUUAAACCAAUGAGAAGAAUGGGAGCAAAGUUGAGUCGGAGGAAGAGCGAGGGGGCUGCAAUAGAGGGAGCUGUGGUGGAGGCUCCAUCCCAGGAUCAGCCUGCCACACCUGAAGCUUUAUCUGUUCCUCAGAGCAGUGAGCAGAAUCUGCAGUGGAGCUGAGGCCACACUUGAAGCCAAGCCCAAGAAGUGUCCCACCAAUAGCAGCUGACAGCAAACCUAUCCCUGGGGCUCUAGAUGUUAUCACACAAACUGCAGAGGAAACUGUGAGUGCCAUUAGCCAACAGAUUGCUGGCCAGUUGAAGAAUUCUAAACAAGAGCAUAGGAGCUGUGGAGGCCAUGAUGGCAGCUGUUGGCUUGAAGGAUGAGGUCCCAGAUCCAGAGCCCAAGCCUGAGACCCUGGUAGAUCUUUCAGAGGAGACUAAACCCAAAAUGAUUUUCUCCACUCCUAAAGCUCCUGAAGGCCUUGCCUACUUACCAUCUGACCUGCCGUCGCACAAACCAUCUCAGAAGCACUCCUCCACUGAGCCCUGUUGCUGCAGCAAUAGCUGAUGAUGUUGCACCUUUUAGCGGUGGAGAGGGAGGAAAUUCCCAGUCAAUUUGAUAUUCGUGCACGCCCUGAGCGCAAGGAAUUGUUGGCAUGCAUGAACCAGGAUGCAGAACCACCAGCAGAAACCUCUGAAACUAUGAAGUUAGUGUUGAUCCCUCAACUCUAAACUUUGACCUUUGGUUGAUCUGGGGGACAUGGGACAGGGGGUGAGCACAGCUGUCAACACGAUCAAUGACCUUAUAUAAACCCAUGGACAUGCUAAAAGAAUCAACUGCUAAAGGGACAAUAGGUGCAAGGAGUCAGACCAUGACAACAGCCAAGAUAAUGGCGAAGCAUGCCUAAAUCAAUCCUUUUUAUUGAAGUUUUAAAAUAUCCUGUAUAACCACUGACAAAUUGUGAGCUUGUAGGCAUGAAAUGGUUGAACUCUACAUCUAAACACCAGUUCCAGCAUAAACACAAGCCACUACCCAGCAUUAUUUUUCUUGUAGUCAUGUAAGGAAAAAAAAAACAGGUUUAAAAUGUUAAAUGAGUAAAAUAACCUUUUUAUUUACUCUGUAUGAAUAAAGUACCAUCACAGAAAUGCAAUAAGAACAUGUUAAAACAAUGAUUGCAAGUGAGAAAAUAAAAUUAAACUGUUACAGACCUUAAUGUCUAAUCUCUAACCUGGUUGACUCUUUACAAUUACAAAGGGCUUAUCUAUUUUUGUCUGGCAAUUUGCUGGUGUAGCUGGAAUAGGUUAUUUAUCCAAGUAGUGCAAAUCAUCAGCCUGUACAAAGUUUUAAAUUAGCCAGACAAUACAGCGGGGUUGAUUUUAGGAAUCAAGUGAAACAAUGUCAAAAAUUAAACAUAUAGGAAAGUAUGUGAAUUGUUCCAGUACACAAAGAAAGCUCUGCAGAACUUCAGAAUAUGCAGUAAUGAGGUUUCCUGCUACUGUACUUGGAUUUCUUUUAACUCAACACACACAUUCUCAUAUACAUGUAGGGGGAAGGGCCACAUUCCUUCCAGAGAAAAAAGGUUUUCAGAAGUCACAAGGGAAAUUCAGUUUUGGGGUACAAACUCUAGGACAUAGCCUUAGAAGCCUCUGUCCCAUAUAAAUCGCUCAUUCCUCUAUAUCUAGUAAAGAAUAUGACUAUUAGGUGAGAUUCUCACAAUGGCCAGUAAAGUUUAGAAGAAAGAGUAAGGACUGAAGCAAUGAGAUAUUGACCACUGCCCAACACCCACCCCAAACAUAAAAAGAAAUUUGGAAAGAACUUUAAUUCAAACAAAGUUCAACAAAACAAGUAAUAAAGAAACUUGCAUACAUGUUCAAGAUUUAAACUUAGAGUGACAGACUUCUACAAUGGUCUGAUGGCUGACUUGGGUGUUAAUGUGUAAAACAUUGUGCAGAAUGCCAGUUUAACAAACUUUUGGGUCAGCAGAAUCCAGUGUUGUAAGGUCUGGUGUCUGAGGUAAGCCCAGUUUUAGUUUUCUGCAAAUAUGAGGAGAGGAAAAAAGGUUUCAAAAAAUAGCACAUGG